AUCCUCCCCCCUGUGCUGCCUAAUCACAGGGAGAAGGAAUGCCCAGGAGAGCAGCUGAUGUCUCCUGCUCAUCGCUCCGAUAGUAGUAAUUAGCAUAUGGAGCAGGAGACAGUAAUGGGGGCACAGCGGGCGAUUGGAGCAGCGCCCAGGAAUAAUAGUAA